GGGUGCAAUCAUACCAUCACUAAUCCAUGAUAUCGAAUCAGAACUUCCCAGUUAAGCGUGCUUGGACGAGAGUAGUACUAGGAUGCGUGACCUCCAAGGAAGUCCUCUUGUUGCACCCC
rnacentral:rRNA from 1 species